GCGCCGAGGGACACGGCCUCGGCGCGCAUCGACGCGGCCUCGGCGCGCAUUGCCGGCACGCGCUCGCGCUCGGCGGCAAACCGUGCGCGCCGUUGGUCUAUGGCGGCCUCGAUCUGUCUGAGCGCGUCGGCCUCGGGUGUCGGCGGUUCGCUCGGUUCGGCGGGCGCCUUGCGCUUCUUUGCGGCGCCCCCGCCCGAGGCCUUUGCUGAGGAGGCGGCCACGCGCGCCUUGGCCGUGCGGUCGCCGUUUGCCGUGGUCGUCGUCAUCGCGUCGUCGUCGUCGUCGCUCUCGGUAUCAAAGUGCCGCCGUUGCGCCGCUGUUAACGGGGUACGCAGCCACGUGCACGGCCCGGGGUAAAAAAAAAGAAGAGGGCGAUCGCCGACAGGGUUUUGCCGUGUUGCCGCUGGUGCCUUUUCUUUUUCCUCGCUCCGUCUUUUUUUUUGACCCCUUGCUGUCCCGUCUGACUGGUCGGGAUGGCGCGGCACGCGGUAAGGCCGACAAGCGCGCGCACGGGCGCGACCGCCCCAAAAAAGCUAUCCUCGAAAGGCGAUCGGCCAAAGGGACAACCGAGCGGUGUGGCCCGUCGGUUGAGCGGCGCGGCGAGAGCGCUACCUUGCCUUGUUUUGGGAUACUCACGCGAUCCAAGGGCCGCACGAGGACGCUAAAAAUACGCGCAGACGAUCCCAAAAAAGGUCAAAGCUGCAGACGGGCGGUUCUGUGUGGUCGUCGUGGUGGUGUGUUGAAUGUGUGGAUCUCCGGCUCGCCGAUGUUACCGGGUGCGCGCGGACCUCCCGGCGCCGGUCGGGGCCGCCCGCGCCGCAGAAAAGACGCGCAUCCAAAAAAAGAGACCGGCCGGGAGACCAAACACACGGGCUUGGGUGUGGCCUCACGCGAGUAAAAAGCCAGGUCGCUCUCGUGCGUUUGGCACCCGCCCAGCGGGGGGCAACCGGCGGCGCCCCCGUAAUGCGCCG
rnacentral:lncRNA from 1 species